rnacentral:rRNA from 1 species
AGCGAACGCUGGCGGCAUGCUUAACACAUGCAAGUCGAGCGGGCACCUUCGGGUGUCCGCGGCAGACGGGUGAGUAACACGUGGGAACGUACCCUUCGGUUCGGAAUAACGCUGGGAAACUAGCGCUAAUACCGGAUACGCCCUUAUGGGGAAAGGUUUACUGCCGAAGGAUCGGCGCGCGUCUGAUUCGUUAGUUGGUGGGGUAACGGCCUACCAAGGCGCCUAACAGUAGCUGGUCUGAGAGGAUGAUCAGCCACACUGGGACUGAGACACGGCCCAGACUCCUCCGGGAGGCGGCAGUGGGGGAUAUUGGAAAAUGGGCGCAAGGCUGAUCCAGCCAGGACGCGUGAGUGAUGAAGGCCUUAGGGUUGUAAAGCUCUUUUGUCCGGGACGAUAAUGACGGUACCGGAAGAAUAAGCCCCGGCUAACUUCGUG